UGGAGAUGUGAAGUAUUCUAGUAUGAUAACUGUGUGAGUUGUUGAGAUAUAUAAAGUAUUUUAUUAUUGUGUGAUUUAUUUUAUAGGUCUCUUGUUAAUGUUUCACUUGAUUUGUUUUUGUUGCCACGAAAUACAAGUGAAAUGCCAUUAAUGUAUAUAUUUAACAAUUGGACUUAAUUGAAAGUUAAAGAGAUAUGGAGUAUUCUGAAAUGAUUGUAUGUGUUACAUGGUACGUGUAAGUUAUAGAGAUAUGGAGUAUUGUGAUAUGAUUGUGUGUGUUACAUUGUACGUGUAAGUUAUAGAGAUAUAGAGUAUUGAUAUGACUAUAUGUUACAGUUUACGUGUUAGUUAUAGAGAUAUGGAGUAUUGUGAUAUGAUUGUGUGUUACAUUGUACGUGUAAGUUAUAGAGAUAUGGAGUAUUGUGAUAUGACUAUGUGUUACAUUGUACGUGUAAGUUAUAGAGAUAUGGAGUAUUGUGAUAUGACUAUGUGUUACAUUGUACGUGUAAGUUAUAGAGAUAUGGAGUAUUGUGAUAUGACUAUGUGUUACAUUGUACGUGUAAGAUAUAGAGAUAUGGAGUAUUCUGAUAUGACUAUGUGUUACAUUGUACGUGUAAGUUAUAGAGAUAUGGAGUAUUGUGAUAUGACUGUAUGUGUUACAUUGUAAGUGUAAGUUAUAGAGAUAUGGAGUAUUCUGAUAUGACUAUGUGUUACAUUGUACGUGUAAGUUAUAGAGAUAUGGAGUAUUGAUAUGACAAUGUGUUACAUUGUACGUGUAAGUUAUAGAGAUAUGGAGUAUUCUGAUAUGACUAUGUGUUACAUUGUAUGUGUAAGUUAUAGAGAUAUGAAGUAUUCUGAUAUGAUUGUGUGUGUUACAUUGUACGUGUAAGUUAUAGAGAUAUGGAGUAUUCUGAUAUGACUAUGUGUUACAUUGUACGUGUAAGAUAUAGAGAUAUGGAGUAUUGUGAUAUGUUUGUGUGUGUUACAUUGUACAUGUAAGUUAUAGAGAUAUGAAGUAUUCUGAUAUGAUUGUAUGUGUUACAUGGUACGUGUUACAUAGUAUGUGUUACAUUGUACGUGUAAGUUAUAGAUAUGGAGUAUUGAUAUGAUUGUGUGUGUUACAUUGUACGUGUAAGUUGAUUAUUUUGUGUUACGUUGUAUGUAAGCGUUCAUUCAGGAACAAGAACAGAUAUAUUUUCUGGUCGGUAUAUCACAUCAUAAACAUAUAUUCUCUAGAUUAUCUAUAUAUCAUAAUGAAUGUCAAAAGUUACAGAGAUGUGGUAUGUAUUUGAUGUAUGUAUUUACUGAGGUAUCAAGACGUAUUUUUUUAUACGUUGAGAACGUGUUGACCGGGAAAUGAGUGUAAGUGUUGGUAUGCUCAUCAAGACGUAUUUUUUUAUACGUUGAGAACGUGUUGACCGGGAAAUGAGUGUAAGUGUUGGUAUGCUGAGGAAGCGCUUACCGGAAAAUGAGUAAAGGUUGACACGGUGAUAAAGUUAACAGUAUAGGAAUGAUUCAGUUGUCCUGUAUGGUUACAAUACAAAUACACAGAGAUACAGGAGUUUCCAUUUCUUACUGGACUUAUGAAAGUCUUUUUUAUUUAAAUGUAGACUUUAACAAUGGUGAACAAGCAGUCGUCAUUGUCAUAGGUUUUCUUCGUGUCAGGAGUCGAAAACGGCCAAAUCUGUCAAAACAAAACAAAUAUUUGAUUUUUUUGCAUGUUCAUUUAAUUUGAGAUCUUAAGUUGAUCACACAAUUUUGAUUCAAAACAUCUUCGACUCCUUUCAUAAAUAAUCUGUAUGAAAUGAAAACUCAUUUUAGAUCCUUUGUUUAGGACUUGUCUGUUAAAAUCAAUUAUACAUGUAUGUUAUUUUAUGCAUUUUUGGUCUGGUAGUUUUAGUAUUCAUGAUUAUUUCACAAUGAAUAGCAUAUGGUUAAUUUUGGGAAGGAAUCUCUCGACGUAAACGUUGUUAACAUAAUUUGUUCUUGUUUGUGAGUUUAUGUUGUUCCUGUUUGUCUACUGAUAAAAAGGUGAUUUGUUUUAAUAAAAAUGUGAUACAUUAACACUGAUUGUAAUG